rnacentral:misc_RNA from 1 species
GGAAGUAAAAUCGUAACAAGGUUUCCGUAGGUGAACCUGCGGAAGGAUCAUUACAGAGUUCAUGCCCUCACGGGUAGAUCUCCCACCCUUGAAUAUUUAUACCUUAGUUGCUUUGGCAGGCCGUGGAAGCACCAUGGGCUCCGGCUUAUGCGUGCCUGCCAGAGGAAACAAACUCUGUUUUUAGUGAUGUCUGAGUACUAUAUAAUAGUUAAAACUUUCAACAACGGAUCUCUUGGUUCUG